GUGAAUCAUCGAAUCUUUGAACGCAAAUUGCACUCUCUGGUAUUCCGGAGAGUAUGCCUGUUUGAGGGUCAGUUCAAAUAAAAAUCGGCGUGGUUGCUGCCUUUCGUGGUGACGCACCGGAUGUGGGUUGGAUUGCCUUCGGUUAAGUGACCUUAAAUGUUGCAUGAAUUUUUCGAACGUAUGUGAAUGAUUUUAUGUACGUUUGCGAUACCGAAUACUAGGUGUGGUCAUCCGC
rnacentral:misc_RNA from 1 species